rnacentral:rRNA from 1 species
GAUGAACGCUAGCGACAGGCUUAACACAUGCAAGUCGAGGGGCAGCACAGGUAGCAAUUCCGGGUGGCGACCGGCGCACGGGUGAGUAACGCGUAUGCAACUUACCUAUCAGAGGGGGAUAACCCGGCGAAAGUCGGACUAAUACCGCAUGAAGCAGGGGUUCCGCAUGGGGACAUUUGCUAAAGAUUCAUCGCUGAUAGAUAGGCAUGCGUUCCAUUAGGCAGUUGGCGGGGUAACGGCCCACCAAACCGACGAUGGGUAGGGGUUGUGAGAGGAAGGCCCACCACAUUGGUACUGAGGCACGGACCAAAAUGCUACGGGAGGCAGCGGUAAGGAAGAUUAGGCAAUGGACGAGGGGCUAGACCAGCCACGUCGCGUGAGAGAGGAAGGUGCUUUUGAUCGUAAACUUCUUUUAAAAGAAAAUAAAGUGCGGGACGCGUCCCGUUUUGAAGGUGCCUUAUGAAUAAGGACCGGCUAACUCCGUG